rnacentral:rRNA from 1 species
AAUGAACGCUGGCGGCAUGCCUUACACAUGCAAGUCGAACGGCAGCAUGACCUAGCUUGCUAGGUUGAUGGCGAGUGGCGAACGGGUGAGUAAUGCAUCGGAACGUGCCCUUUAGUGGGGGAUAACGUAGCGAAAGUUACGCUAAUACCGCAUAUUCUCUGAGGAGGAAAGCAGGGGGCCUUCGGGCCUUGCGCUAGAAGAGCGGCCGAUGUCGGAUUAGCUAGUUGGUGAGGUAAAGGCUCACCAAGGCAACGAUCCGUAGCGGGUCUGAGAGGAUGAUCCGCCACACUGGGACUGAGACACGGCCCAGACUCCUACGGGAGGCAGCAGUGGGGAAUUUUGGACAAUGGGCGCAAGCCUGAUCCAGCCAUGCCGCGUGAGUGAAGAAGGCCUUCGGGUUGUAAAGCUCUUUCGGCUGGGAAGAAAUCGCACUCUCUAAUACAGGGUGUGGAUGACGGUACCAGCAUAAGAAGCACCGGCUAACUACGUG